rnacentral:piRNA from 1 species
AAUUUGGACCUGGAGAUGAUACC